rnacentral:rRNA from 2 species
GAUGAACGCUGGCGGCGUGCCUAAUACAUGCAAGUCGAACGAGUCCUGAUUAUUGAAAGGUGCUUGCAUCCUGAUUUAAUUUUGAACGAGUGGCGGACGGGUGAGUAACACGUGGGUAACCUGCCCUUAAGUGGGGGAUAACAUUUGGAAACAGAUGCUAAUACCGCAUAAAUCCAAAAACCGCAUGGUUCUUGGCUGAAAGAUGGCGUAAGCUAUCGCUUUUGGAUGGACCCGCGGCGUAUUAGCUAGUUGGUGAGGUAACGGCUCACCAAGGCAAUGAUACGUAGCCGAACUGAGAGGUUGAUCGGCCACAUUGGGACUGAGACACGGCCCAAACUCCUACGGGAGGCAGCAGUAGGGAAUCUUCCACAAUGGACGCAAGUCUGAUGGAGCAACGCCGCGUGAGUGAAGAAGGCUUUCGGGUCGUAAAACUCUGUUGUUGGAGAAGAAUGGUCGGCAGAGUAACUGUGUCG